rnacentral:rRNA from 1 species
UACGUAGGCAGCGAGCGUUGUUCGGAGUUACUGGGCGUAAAGCGUGUGUAGGCGGUGUCUUAAGUUUGUUGUGAAAUCUCCCGGCUUAACCGGGAGGGUGCGGCGAAUACUGAGAUGCUGGAGUGCCGGAGAGGUAAGCGGAAUUCCUGGUGUAGCGGUGAAAUGCGUAGAUAUCAGGAGGAACACCUGCGGUGUAGACGGCUUACUGGACGGUAACUGACGCUGAGGCACGAAAGCGUGGGUAGCAAACAGG